GAACAGGGAUAGCUGGGUCAGAUGGUGGAUCCAUUCCCAGAUUUCCAAGGAAUCUCUGUACUGCUUUCCAAAUUGGCUGCACCUAUCUGGUUGAUUUAAAGUGGUAUCUUGUGGUUUUAUUUUCCUUGAUUUCUAUUUAGAUUGAACAUCUUGUCUUAUGUUGAGUAGUCAUACAUAUUUCUUUUCUAUGAAAUACCCAUUAACUGUCCUACCUGAUUUUUAUUAUUAUUGAUUAGUAAGCAUUCCUUAUUAUUCUGGAUAUUCAUUAUCAGUUGGGUAUUUAUCUGGUAAAAGUCUUCCCUCCCUUUUGACUUGCUUUUACACUUUAUGAUAUCUUUCAGAGCACAAUUCUUUAUUUUAAUGUGUCAAACAUACCAAUAAUUUUAUUUAAUGAUAUUUUAUCUGUGUCUUUUUAAAAUAUUUUUUCCUGCUCAAGGUUAUAUGUUCUUUUAUAUCUUCCUCUAAAAGUCAUAAGUUGUUUACUUCACAUUUCAGCCUCGUGAAUGUAGAAUUCAUUUCUGUGUGUUGUGUUAUAGUGUAAGUAUGGCUUUAGGCCUUAGCCUAAGCAACUCCAUUUUAAAACUCCAUCUUAAAAUAAACCUGCAGUCUUACCGGGCAAACCACAGAGUCCUUCAAUAUGUCAAUCAGGUAUAGCCUGAUAAAAACAAGUCACUUUCCACAACCAUGGUAAGAGUCAGGGUGAAGUCAUGUCAUUUGUCAUAACUGAUAAGAGUCAGAAGGGUAUCAGGGCAGAAACCACCAGACCAUAUGUCCUGUCUAAGAUGUAAGAUGUCACUAAGAAACCUGGUAACAAUUGAUAGGGACCCAAAGGGCGAGCAGAAGCUCCCCAAAUUUAACAAAAAUAUUGGAGCAAAUGAACAGACAUUCACCAGCUGACACUGAUGCACACAAGCCUGAGAGCCUGAUGAGGACCUAGUCUGACAUCCCAACUCUUCUCAUCAUCUGCCUAAUCCUCUGCAUUGUCCUCAUCACUCUCAAACUCUA
rnacentral:lncRNA from 1 species